rnacentral:lncRNA from 1 species
AAUUACGUGAUUAUGUCCAUAGUUGACCCUUUAGUUAUAUGCACCCCUGCCCGCCCGAUCCGAAGCUUGACAGCCGGACUUGAUCGAAUCGGGAUGUCGGGACCGUCCGAUUAGCUCGUCCCCCUUUAAAUUAUUUUAAUAUUUGAUUUUUGUCAAAAUUUUUGGAAAGUAACUCGGGAAUAGGCACCCAUUCCAAUGAUUGCGAAAGAGACGACUGUUUUAAAUGUGGAAAAGGUGGGCCGUUGAUCGGCAACGGGCGGCGGAUGAAACCAGCGGUCGGAUUCUUAUCAUGAUGACGAGCAC